UACAUAGACGGAGUGGUGGCCAUUUUUCCGGGCACCACUAUAUACCCCUGGGGAGUGACGGAUUACAAUUAUUACAAUCACUCGACCAUUGAGAAGCCCCUCAAUUCAAAUCACGUCAGUUUGACAACAGUUGUCAUUUCCAUUUUUGUUUACCUUUUGUUUCUGAUUCAAUGAAUCGAGACGAGUUUGUUUAUGUUUGUUCGGAAGCAAUUGGAUUAACGGAGGAGGAUGUCUGCGAUUGUGUCGUUAGACGUUGAUGGGACCGACACGGACGACGCGUCGGAGGGGUAAGAGCAGCAGCUGCUGAAGGAUGAGCAAGAGUUCUACCUAUAAUGUUGAACCGCUGGAAUCAGAUGUUUGGAACGACGGAUGUUAAGACCCUGGACCGACACAUCCGUAAAAUACACUUCACAGGAUCACCAAAAUGGACACACUGGGGAUCGUGUUUACCAAUGCGGUGAAUGCAACCAUCAGCGUAUGCCUUCCGGAUGGGAUGUCUGGUGCACAAAAUCUUCGACCAUGUGAAGCUGAACGGCGUAUACGUGUGCCCCGAGCACAGCGGCACAAGUACCGGCACAGCCGAGUAUUGCACCAGCACCAGUUAGAUCUAAUAAUGGGACACAGCGGAAGAACGAUUCCGUCAACGCCGGUAAGAUAUCUUUUUUCUAGGAAAAUGAGCGAAACAAAUUUCUCAAUGUUUUUGAAAGCUUAUCCAAAAACCGAAACGUGCACUGGCGGAAAUAAAAUAAGGAUUUUCAUAAUUCUUGCCUUAUGAAACCGCAUGAGUUCAUUAGAUACUGGUUCCAUAAGGGCCUUACGAAAUUCUUAUGUUUAAGUAUACAUUCUAUAAAAUGCCUUAUGAAAUUCAUUGGUGAAUAUUGAGGAAAAGCAUAGUUGUGCAUAUGAAACUAACUGGUGUUUUUGGUCGAGUUCAUUUUCUUUCCCCAAGCAACUGUCAUGUACUUGUUCAUUUGCCCUCGAUGUUAUUUAUUAAAAUUUUCUUCGUUAUUUUCAGCAGCACUUUCUUUUACUUUCCGGAUGGAAACCGGUGUCCUGUAUUUUUGUCGUGCAUUCUAUAAACGGAAUGAUGAUUCGUUAGCCAGCAUGGAAUUCCAGGGAUUUACGAAGGUCUAACCUGAUGUGGUUGACCUGGUAGGACAUCGCUGGAUUGCAGAACAAUAUCGCCGCCCAGCAAGCAAUCUGCGUGGGGCAAUAACUACAGCAUCCAGGAAAGAUUUUCAACGUAAACCAAAAUAGAACUCGGUAAAGAACGAUGGCCCUGAAGGUGGCGUUACGGAUACCGGUUUGACAAGGAUGUGGGACAUGAUUCAAUUGAUUUUUCUCGUUUUUCACACUUCCCACCAUUGGAUAAGCGGUUCAAGCGGUAUACAAGGAGAUCCCAAUUAUAUUUAUAGCGUUCGGUCCACCGGUCGCGGAGGAAUUGUUGAUGGAUGGCCAGAUUUCUCGAGCGAUACUUGUUUGCCGAUAAGAGGUUAAGAAUUCAUACUUGUUCCCAAACGAGUCCAUCUACUUGAAUCUCCCAUCCGAGCAACUCUACAAGUUUCGACUGGUAUCAAUCUUCCAAUGAGUAAGGCGUAAAAGGCACUGAAUAAUUGUGUGCUCGACAACACAACCAGCUGCGCAAAAUCUCCCACGAAUAUAGAGAAAUGCAAACCAUUUUGCAGCACCUUGGAAUUCCGGGAGGCAACUGCAAACGUAAUAUGGGCUCCGUCGGAUGAGCUGACAUGGUGGUGGCGCACCAGUAGUCGACCUACAGUCGAAUGUUUGUUCAAUGCUAGUGGUGACAAUGGCCGAUGUACCAAAACCAACGUAAAUAGAUAUAUUUACGUGUAUUUCUCUGGAAAACUAAGCAUUCACCGGAUUUUUCUACUAUCAACCACUACCGGCAUGUGUAUAGUGUCUUAUUAACUGUAUUUUAAAUGUAGUCUAUAAUAAAAUUAGAAA